UAAUUAAAAUAUAGUUUUUUAAAAAAUUUUUUAAAUUUUCUUUAAAAUAUAAAAUGUAAAUUUUAAGUUGAAAAUUAGAAGAAAUAUUUGUAUUUUUCAAUAAAAUUGAAGCAGAAAUUUAAAUUUAAAUUUGGCAAAACUUGUGCCAGCCGCCGCGGUUAUACAAGUAGAUUUAUUUUUUUAGGUAAUUUUAAUAAAUUUUUAAAUUGAUUGUUUUAGUUUAUUGAGGUGAAAUUUAUAACUGUUUUUUUUAAUGAUUUGAUUUUAAAAAAAUUUAAAAAAUAAACUAGGAUUAGAUACCCUAUUAUUUUAAGCUAUAUAUUGUUAGUAGAUAAUUAUUAUGAAAUCAUAAGAUUUUGGCGGUGUUUUAAGCUUUUUAGAGGAAUUUGCUCUGUAAUGGAUAAAACGCCUUGAUCUUACUUAAUUUUGUAAAUUCAAUUUGUAUACCACUAUAUUUAAUUAUAUUGAAUAAUAAUAUUUAGGAUUUUUUUUUAAAAAAUAUAUUAAGUCAAGGUGCAAUAUAAAAUUAUGAAUGAAGUGAAUUACAGUGAUUAUAAUUGAGAUAAUUAUGAAAUAUUUAAUUUAGGAUUUAAAAGUAAAUUAUUAAUAUAAUGAAUAUUUGAAUUAAGCUCUAGGAUAUGUACAUAUCGCCCGUCGCUCUCAAUUUUGGGAUAAGUCGUAACAAAGUAAAAGUACUGGAAAGUGUUUUU
rnacentral:ncRNA from 1 species